rnacentral:rRNA from 1 species
ACGCACGCUGGCGGCGUGCUUAACACCUGCAAGUCGAACGGAAAGGCCCUGCUUUUGUGGGGUGCUCGAGUGGCGAACGGGGGAGUAACACGUGAGUAACCUGCCCUUGACUUUGGGAUAACUUCAGGAAACUGGGGCUAAUACCGGAUAGGAGCUCCUGCUGCAUGGUGGGGGUUGGAAAGUUUCGGCGGUUGGGGAUGGACUCGCGGCUUAUCAGCUUGUUGGUGGGGUAGUGGCUUACCAAGGCUUUGACGGGUAGCCGGCCUGAGAGGGUGACCGGCCACAUUGGGACUGAGAUACGGCCCAGACUCCUACGGGAGGCAGCAGUGGGGAAUAUUGCACAAUGGGCGGAAGCCUGAUGCAGCAACGCCGCGUGCGGGAUGACGGCCUUCGGGUUGUAAACCGCUUUCGCCUGUGACGAAGCGUGAGUGACGGUAAUGGGUAAAGAAGCACCGGCUAACUACGUG